AGAAUCAGGCAAGGAAAUGAAGGUUUUUAAAGUCAACUUCCCUGCAAUAUGCAUUCAGGUUUUACUCUCUGGUACUGUGAAGAACCUGAGUGGCUCUUGGUGGGUCAUGGAGCCAGUAUUCUUUAUCCUGACUGUUUGGAUGUUAAAAUUCCUCUAUGUUUUAUAUGACCAGUGGGGUCUUCUUGCAGUGAUUAUUGUGUGUGAGAUCCCCCACCCAAGUGUUCAUAUUACUAACUCUCAGGUUCACCUUAUCCCAGAAGCCAUGGUCUGCAUAGGUUCCAGAGGCUCUGCACUCUGCAGCCUUAGCUAACUGUGAAGCCAGAGUUUGGUCUUCCUGGUGAAAACGAGACUCACUGUCUAGCUUAUCCUUCUCUUGUUUUACCCCUGUGCUCAUCUUCCUUUUAGAUUCGUGCUAGAGUUCCAUUUCAUUUUCAGAGGACUCGAAUACUCCACAGAAGGAGUAGACAGACUCCUAAGGGCUAUCCAUGCUACUGAGAUUAUAGUCUACUUAGAUCAACAAAAUAUAUUCAUAGGAAAAUUGAAAAAGCAAGACUUUUAAAUGAGCGGUGAUUUCUAAAAAUUAUUUUUUAUUGGUGUAGUGACCUGGUUUAUCAGGUAAAGGUGACUGCCAUCAACCAAGCCUGAUGACCUGAGUUGAACACACUCGGUGGAAGUAGAGAAUUAACUCUCUCAACAAACUAUCCUCUUCCCUCCACAUGUGUGCACCCUACCACGGCCACAUAUAUAAAUAAAUCUUUAAAACUGUUGUUUCUU
rnacentral:lncRNA from 1 species